rnacentral:rRNA from 1 species
UACAACGAGUCGCAAGACCGCGAGGUUUAGCAAAUCUCUUAAAGCCGUUCUCAGUUCGGAUUGUAGGCUGCAACUCGCCUACAUGAAGUCGGAAUCGCUAGUAAUCGCGGAUCAGCAUGCCGCGGUGAAUACGUUCCCGGGCCUUGUACACACCGCCCGUCACACCAUGAGAGUUUGUAACACCCAAAGCCGGUGGGGUAACCUUUUGGAGCCAGCCGUCUAAGGUGGGACAGAUGAUUAGGGUGAAGUCGUAACAAGGUAGC